UACGAAGGGGGCUAGCGUUGCUCGGAAUUACUGGGCGUAAAGCGCACGUAGGCGGCUUGUUAAGUCAGGGGUGAAAUCCUGGAGCUCAACUCCAGAACUGCCUUUGAUACUGGCGGCCUUGAGUAUGGCAGAGGUGUGUGGAACUCCGAGUGUAGAGGUGAAAUUCGUAGAUAUUCGGAAGAACACCAGUGGCGAAGGCGGCUCACUGGCCCGUUACCGACGCUCAGGCGCGACAGCGUGGGGAGCAAACAGG
rnacentral:rRNA from 1 species